rnacentral:rRNA from 1 species
GACGAACGCUGGCGGCGUGCCUAAUACAUGCAAGUCGAGCGGACCGAACAGGAGCUUGCUCUUGUUCGGUUAGCGGCGGACGGGUGAGUAACACGUGGGUAACCUGCCCGUAAGACCGGGAUAACUCCGGGAAACCGGAGCUAAUACCGGAUAACACCGAAGACCGCAUGGUCUUUGGUUGAAAGGCGGCUUCGGCUGCCACUUACGGAUGGGCCCGCGGCGCAUUAGCUAGUUGGUGAGGUAACGGCUCACCAAGGUGACGAUGCGUAGCAGGCCUGAGGGGGUGGACGGCCAGACUGGGACGGGGACACGGCCCAGACUGCUUCGGGGAGCGGCCAGAGGGAAACUUCCGGCAGGGGCGGAAGUCAGUCCGAACGGCGCCGCGUGCGGGAAGAAGGUCGUCGGGUCGGAAAGCUCUGUUGUUAGGGAAGAAAAAGCGUCGUUCGGACACGGCGGCGCAGUGACGGUACCUAGCGAGAAAGCCCCGGCUAACUACGUG